rnacentral:tRNA from 1 species
GGAGAGGUGGCAGAGUGGUCGAUUGCGGCGGUCUUGAAAACCGCUGUACUGCGAGGUACCCGGGGUUCGAAUCCCUGUCUCUCCG